AGCGGCGGACGGGUGAGUAACGCGUAGGAAUCUACCUGGUAGUGGGGGACAACUUGGGGAAACUCAAGCUAAUACCGCAUACGCCCUAUGGGGGAAAGCGGGGGACCUUCGGGCCUCGCGCUAUCAGAUGAGCCUGCGUAGGAUUAGCUAGUUGGUGAGGUAAAGGCUCACCAAGGCGACGAUCCUUAGCUGGUCUGAGAGGAUGAUCAGCCACACUGGGACUGAGACACGGCCCAGACUCCUACGGGAGGCAGCAGUGGGGAAUAUUGCGCAAUGGGGGCAACCCUGACGCAGCCAUGCCGCGUGUGUGAAGAAGGCCUUCGGGUUGUAAAGCACUUUAAGUGGGGAGAAAAGGGUAGCGGUUAAUAGCCGUUACCUGUGAUGUUACCCACAGAAUAAGCACCGGCUAACUCCGUGCCAGCAGCCGCGGUAAUACGGAGGGUGCGAGCGUUAAUCGGAAUUACUGGGCGUAAAGCGCGCGUAGGUGGUUUGUUAAGUCAGCUGUGAAAGCCCCGGGCUCAACCUGGGAACUGCAGUUGAUACUGGCCGACUAGAGUACGAGAGAGGGGGGUAGAAUUCCAUGUGUAGCGGUGAAAUGCGUAGAUAUAUGGAGGAAUACCGGUGGCGAAGGCGGCCUCCUGGCUCGAUACUGACGCUGAGGUGCGAAAGCGUGGGGAUCAAACAGGAUUAGAUACCCUGGUAGUCCACGCCGUAAACGAUGUCUACUAGC
rnacentral:rRNA from 1 species